rnacentral:rRNA from 1 species
GAUGAACGCUGGCGGCGUGCCUAAUACAUGCAAGUCGAGCGAACAGAUAAGGAGCUUGCUCCUUUGACGUUAGCGGCGGACGGGUGAGUAACACGUGGGUAACCUACCUAUAAGACUGGAAUAACUCCGGGAAACCGGGGCUAAUGCCGGAUAACAUUUAGAACCGCAUGGUUCUAAAGUGAAAGAUGGUUUUGCUAUCACUUAUAGAUGGACCCGCGCCGUAUUAGCUAGUUGGUAAGGUAACGGCUUACCAAGGCAACGAUACGUAGCCGACCUGAGAGGGGGAACGGGCAAACGGGAAACGAGAAACGGCCCAGACACCCACGGGAGGGAGCAGGGGGGAAUAUUGCAGAAUGGGGGAAAGCCCGAGCGAGCCAACCCGGGGGGGUGAAGAAGGGCUUUGGGUUGGAAAACCCCUUUUUUUGGGAAAAAAAAAAGGUGGAAAAAACUGUGCUGGUCUGACGGGAACCAAAGAAGAAGCCCCGGCUUAACUCGGG